rnacentral:rRNA from 1 species
CGUGUAGGCGGUUAGUCAAGUCGGGUGUGAAAGCCUGGGGCUCAGCCCCAGAAGUGCAUCCGAAACUAGCCAGCUAGAGCGCGAUAGAGGAGGGUGGAAUUCCUGGUGUAGCGGUGAAAUGCGUAGAUAUCAGGAGGAACACCGGCGGCGAAGGCGGCCCUCUGGAUCGUUGCUGACGCUGAGACGCGAAAGCGUGGGGAGCAAACAGGAUUAGAUACCCUGGUAGUCCACGCCUUAAACGAUGGGUACUAGGUGUUCGGGGUGUUGACCCCCUGAGUGCCGCAGUUAACGCAUUAAGUACCCCGCCUGGGGACUACGGCCGCAAGGUUAAA